AACAGCUACAAUUUUUAUUGAAGAAACCGACUGAUCGGUAUUACUCUCUUCCUACCCAAAUCUUUCAAUCAAUCGUGUUUAUCAUUGAACCCACCUCCUAGCUAAGCAGAGAUUUCCGGAAACAAUAUAGAUUAGGAAAGAAGAGAUUUGUAUGUGAACAACAAACAUUUAAUUUGUAAGAUGAAUGAAAAUUAGAACCAAGUAUAAUGGAAACUUGCGACGAAGAAGAUAUUUACAGAUAAGACUCUGUUACUAUAUUCACUAAACAUUUUUGCCUAACCUCUUCAUAUAUUUAAUUACAAAUUUUUCUAAUGUGUAUAGGUAAAUCUAUACAAUGAAUCACAAACAAAGCCUCUCUCACGUUGGUGAUUGAUUUGUGGAAAAAGUUAGUGCCGGUGCGUUCUCUAAGUUGAUGAAGUAUGGGGGUUCAUGAAAGACGUGCAAAGGUCUUGCACUUUGUUAAUCGCAGGAUUUGCUGUAAGAUAGACAGCGGAUAGAUUAUCACAAUACAAUUCUGGUGGUUGAUACUGAGGAAUCCCAAGUUCUUUAAGGAUGUUGCAGAUCCACGAGAUCUCGGCUGCUUCAUCUAACAUCGCUCUAUACUCGGCUUUAGUAGAGCUUCGAGCAACCGAAUCCUGUUUCUGAGAUGCCCAAGAGAUCAAAUUAGUACCGAGGAUCCGUUUGAGAAGGUGGAAGUCAGCAAAAGUUAGGGCAUGCAUCUUCUGACAAACAAAUUUCACCGCAAACUGGAUGUCUGGUCUUCUAAGAGUCAAGCAAAGGUGUUGCAACGGAAGAGCACUCGCUCAUGGCUGCAACAACUAACAAGUCUCCUGCGUACUUCUGCUGAGAAAGGAAGAGACCUGAAGGAUGGAAGUGAGCCUGAAUUCCAAGAAAAUAAUGCAUUUGGCUCAGAUCUUUCAUGCGGAACUGGGUGUUGAGAGAGUCUAGAAAGGCUGUCAUAGCUGCGGAGCUGUUUCCUGUGAUAAGCAUGUCGUCCACGUAGAGUAGAAGCACAAUGACUGCUCCAUCUCGCUUGUAGACGAAGAGUGAUGGAUCCGGUAUGCUACAGGAUCUACAAAUUCAGCUGGUUGUUUCAUGUACACUAUCUCUGUGAGAUCACCAUGAAGGAAGGCGUGUUCGACAUCCAUUUGUUUUAUAUCCCAACCCAUUUUGGUGGCCAUAUCCAAGACUGCUCUGACAGUUGUUGUGCGUACUACAGGACUAUAUGUCUCCAGGAGGUGUCAAGUCCCAAGUGUGUGCUGCUUUACAGUUUCCCAUUUCAGUGCCCAUCGCUCCAUUCCAACCUGGAUGUUUAAGAGCUUCAGCUACUGUUUUUGGUUCUGGAUGGGAUACUUUAUGAGACAAUAAAGCAUAUCUUGGAUUCGGCUUUUGUAUCCCGUCUUUUAAUCUUGUUGUCAUUCCGUGAGUAGGUUGGACUUGACUGACAGAUUCUGCUUUUGAUGAUGUUGCAGGAACCUGUGGAGACUGAACAGAGGGCAUAGAAGAGGCCGAGGAUUCACCAGAUUCUUGAGUUUGUGUGCUUGACCUUGAAGAAAAUUCUGAGGCAAAAGUAUCUGAGACGCAGUCUCAGGUGUUGGAGAUGAAGUUGAAGUAUGAAUUGGAGUCACUGGAGGAGUAUGAGCCACUGAUGAGCUGGAGCUGG